rnacentral:rRNA from 1 species
UAUCAGUCAUGCAUAGCAUAUCAAUAAGCGGAGGAAAAGAAACUAACUAGGAUUCCCUUAGUAACGGCGAGUGAAGCGGGAAGAGCUCAAAUUUGAAAUCCUCAAGGUUCUACCUUGACGAAUUGUAGUUUAUAGAAGUGUUUUCUGUUAGUGGAGUGGCAAAAGUUCUUUGGAAUAGGACAUCAUAGAGGGUGAGAAUCCCGUAUUUGGUCACUCCUCCUAGCGUUGUGAUACACUUUCAACGAGUCGGAUUGUUUGGGAAUGCAGUCCAAAAUGGGUGGUAAAUUUCAUCUAAAGCUAAAUAUUGGCGAGAGACCGAUAGCGAACAAGUACCGUGAGGGAAAGAUGAAAAGAACUUUGAAAAGAGAGUUAAACAGUACGUGAAAUUGUCAAAAGGGAAGCGUUUGACACCAGUGUUGUUUAGUUGAAAAUCAAUUCAAUAAUUUUUGAUUUUGAGUAGUAUUGACUUCAUCAGCUUGCUGCUUUCUUUUCGGAAAUUAUUGAAUGCACUUUUCAGUUAACAAGUCAACAUCAAUUUCUUUUGUUGUAAAAGGGUAAGAGGAAGGUGGCUUACGCUUCGGCGUAAGUGUUUAUAGCCUUUUACCUCUGCGAUCGGAGAGAUUGAGGACAGCAGCGUAGACUCUUCGGGGUUAGAUACACUUGUGCUAAGCUAUAGCCUUUUCAUAGACAACUUGUUGACUAUGUUUAGUCUUGUAGCUUACUCGCUUAUGCUAUUUUACCUACGCUUAGGAUGUUGAUGUGAUACUGCGAGCA